CCCCUGCCGGAUGCACCCUCUGUCCUGUCUUCAGCCACCCCCGCACCCCCUGCACCCCCUGCCUCCAGCUAGCCCUGCCCCACGCCCCUGUCUGCAGCUGGCCCCAGUUCACUGGUGCCCUGCAGUUCCCAGGGCAGUAACCUUGCACACCUGCUUCAAGGAGGGGGGUAGGGAGCAGCUGGGACCCACACAUGUGCACACCCUAGGGUGACCAGACAGCAAGUGUGAAAAAUCAGGACAGGGGGUGAGGGGUAAUAGGAGCCUAUAUAAGAAA